CCUACGGGUGGCAGCAGUGGGGAAUAUUGGACAAUGGGCGAAAGCCUGAUCCAGCCAUGCCGCGUGUGUGAAGAAGGCCUUCGGGUUGUAAAGCACUUUCAGUGGGGAAGAAAGCCUUGGGGCUAAUACCCUCGAGGAAGGACAUCGCCCACAGAAGAAGCACCGGCUAACUCCGUGCCAGCAGCCGCGGUAAUACGGAGGGUGCGAGCGUUAAUCGGAAUUACUGGGCGUAAAGCGCGCGUAGGCGGUCUGAUAAGCCGGUUGUGAAAGCCCCGGGCUCAACCUGGGAACGGCAUCCGGAACUGUCAGGCUAGAGUGCAGGAGAGGAAGGUAGAAUUCCCGGUGUAGCAGUGAAAUGCGUAGAGAUCGGGAGGAAUACCAGUGGCGAAGGCGGCCUUCUGGACUGACACUGACGCUGAGGUGUGAAAGCGUGGGUAGCAAACAGGAUUAGAUACCCUAGUAGUC
rnacentral:rRNA from 1 species